rnacentral:lncRNA from 1 species
UGCAAAGAAGAUUGAAGCUACAAGUCGGAUCUUGUUGAAGUGUAGUGGAAUGGAUUGAAGCGACAAGACACAGUAGACUGGAAUAAAGCUACUUGAAGAGGAGAAGCAUCAAAGAAGUCAAGACUCGGCGAGACCGGGCAAAAUUAGUCUUUUUUAGUCUUUGCUCUAUUCUCGUUACACGACAACGAGCAAAAAGGGGCAG